GGGGAUUCAUGCCCCCGUGAAACUGGGAUGACGUAGAAUUAUGGAAGAGUACCUGUCCCUGAGUGUCCUUGAAAGUCAAGCAAUUAAAACAGAUGCAAUCCCUUUGGAUGGAGAUGCAGCACAGCAUCAUUGCUGUGGAAGUCCAUGGUACAGGGGUGGCUGGCAGUCACAGCAGACUCUGCAAAAUGGGACUCCAUCCUGGUUGGCUUCUAAGGAUCAAGGUAGACCAUUCUUACAAUAAUGACAUAGAAUAAGAGACAUAGAUACUUCCUCGGUUGAAAGAAACACACUGGCAGCUAGUACAGUGGAGAACAUCUUCUCUUGUUCAUCCUAGAGAAAGUGUCCCCGGGGUCAGGGGACAAGGCUGGGCCAGAGCUGCUCUCAGUUGAAUAUAAGUGAGUGGUGUUUGAAUUACUGUAAGCUGGAACUCAAAAGCUCUCUGUGAUUCAUAAAGCAGCUCUUUUCAUAUGGGUUCCAAAUUUCCUUUUCUGUUCAUUCAACAUCCUCUGACAAGCUCUCUGAACUUCAUUCUGGCUUAAAAAUCUAAGAAAGCCAUGAUAGUGAAUACCCAUGUCAUGACUGUUUACCCUCAGUCCUCAGACUCGCCCUUCCCUGCUGAGGUGCCGCCCUGUGGAGAGGGAUUAACCUCGAAUGAGACGGUGGGACAGAGACCGAUGCACUGUUGUGGUCACGGUUCCAUAGGUGUGCUGUGUUUUUUCUCAGCAUACCCAUUUUAGGCUCGUGCGGUAUCAAACUUUUCUGCCAGUAAGUAGAAAAGGCAAUUUUUGUAAAAACUGAGAAACAAGUUGCAGGCGAGAGCAGAUAUUUCAGAAAUGACUCAGAAUCAUGUUUUGCUAGAAGAAUGCUAAUGAAAUACAGAGCGCAUAUUCAUGAAACUGAUAACACUCCCUCGGAAAGAAAAUGACUCUUAUUAGACAUCUGAACUUGAGCAAAACAUUCAUGUCAUCGAUUAUAAUAUAAUGGAUGGCUCCUACUCUGGCAGCAAAAUUUAGCUUUAAUGUAACUACAGAAGCAAAGAUUAUUCUUGGGGGAAUAAUGACAGAGUGUAUCUUUCUGAUCAUCUGAAGCAGUUCAUUCACCUCUGAAACUGACUGUAAACCUCAGGAAAGAAGCUUCUCAGAAAUACAUGACCCACUAAGCUAAGAGCCAACUCCCUAGUGAAUCACCUUCCACACCCGUGACCUCAAGUCCAGGACCCGUGUAAAGCUAGUUUUUACCAUGUCUUCUAUGACUGCUGGGGGAUGGUACACUAUCAUCCUAGAUCCAAUUACAAACAGAAAAAAGCAAAAAACAACUAAACCAGCUACUACUGAGCUUGAGCAUGACUAGCACUGAACUACCUAAUUUCUGACUGUUACAAAUUAAUCAAGUCACAGCACAUUUGCGAUUCAUAUCAGCUACCUAGGGCGUUUCUGUAGACAGCUAACCCAUUUGGGAAGCAGUCAGCUAAUACUAUCUGGAUGUCAGAUGCAUCUCAUGUUUUGGCAGCUCUUUAUAGUCUUUCAAGGGGAUUGUGUUGACAGGCACUUGCCCUUCAACUUGCUGCUCUGUUUGGCAGCGGCUCUGUUUUCAGUCUUGCCUUCACUGCACUUGAGGAUUUUCCACAGCCAUGCAUGGGGAUGUUCUCGUGUAAGAGGGUCAGACGGGCAAAAAUCCGGGAAGAAGGGAUUCCAAGCGACAGGGCACAUGGUACAAUGCCUCCCAUUCAGUAGAUGCACCCCAGAAACAUUGUUAUGUUGCCCUCACCAUGAAAACCACUCUUCACUGAGCACUGGCCGUUUAAUGGGCCUGACGUCAUAUUGCCACGUGAAGCAGCCAGCCCUCUACUUUUGAAAACACCCUUUAAGGAAAUGAUUGCAAAGCUUGACUAUAAAAUAUUUUCAGAUAUUUGAAUGAGAAAACAAAAAGCCAUGGUUCCCCACUGAGAGACACAGAAAGAACUCCUACAGCUCUGCCCCCUCCCCACACAGACCAGCCCUCCUUCCUUGAGGACAGGACUGACUAGGUCUGAACACAGCAGGUGCCCCACGCAUGAGCUGAACUCCACUGAACUACAGCCAGUCACACAGACUGGAGGGUCUUUCUGUGGGAUUCUCCCAUUCCCACUGAAUCCUUCCCAUAGGCAAAAGGUAGUUCCCUAAAACAAAUGAGAACAGCUGGAAGGGAUCUGUUUACUGAAUCAAGAAAACACUUAAAUCUAUUAACUGAAUGAAGACAACUGAAAAACAAAACAUUCCUGAAGGAUUAAACUCUGCAGAAAGAAGCUGGCAUUUGCCCAGGACAAGGACAGGCAUCCUUUACAAUGCUUAUCUCAGUUAGAACAGCCUUGUAGGUAGACAGGGCAGAAGGAUCUCUGCUGGGUCAGCCUAACAGGAGCAGGAAGGGUCACCUGGUGCAAAAACAGGGGAGGAAAGUUUCUGACCAGCUGAUGUGAAAGCAAAGUUGGCCAGAGGUCACGUGAGGGAAGUCUGCUAGGAUGCCUGUCUCAGUCUGUGUAGUUUUGCUAUGAAGAAAUAUCUGAGGCUGGGUAUUUACUUUUAAAAGAGGUGUAUCUGGCUCAUGGGUCUGCAGACUGUACAAGCAGGGUGUCAGCAUCUGCUUCCAAAGAGGGCUUCAGGCUGCAUCUGCUUACGGUGGAAGGUGAAGGGGAGCCCUGUGCAGAGAUCACAUCAUGAGAGGAGAAGCAAGAAAGAGGACACGAAGGUGCCAAGCUCUUUUUUUUUUUUUUUUUUUUUGAGAUGGAGUCUCGCUCUGACGUCCAGAUUGGAGUGCAAUGGUGUGAUCUCGGCUCACUGCAACCUCCACAUUCCAGGUUCAAGCGAUUCUCCUGCCUCAGUCUCCUGAGUAGCUGUGAUUACAGGUGCACGCCACCACACCCGGCUAAUUUUUUUUAUUUUUUUGUAUUUUUAGUAGAGAUGUGGUUUCGCCAUGUUGGCCAGGCUGGUCUUGAACUCCUGACCUCAAGUGAUCCACUCUUUUUAACAACCAGCUCUCACAAACUAACAGAGUGAGAACUCAUUCUCCCUCACCCUACCCAGGGAGGACAUUCAUCUAUCAUGAAGGAUUCACCCUCAUGACCCAAACACCUCCCAUUAGGCCCCACUUCUUAACACUGGGGAUCAAAUUUCAACAUGAGAUUUGGUGGAGACAAACAUCCCAGCUCUAGCCAUGCCCACCUGCUGAAUGCUUAUUCACUGUGAACAACUGCUGUCUUCUGAAAAAGUUGUGAAAUGCAUUUUGUGAAAAGAAUUCUAUUUUGAAUGCCCGAAUGGAAUUUAAUUUAGAGGAAAUCUGUUGUGAGUUACCUUCAAGAACUGCCAGGUUAGCUGUGUGACCUCAGGCAAGUUAUCUAACUUCUCCAUGCAUCAACUUCCCCAUAGAAAAAGCAGGGAGAAUAGAAUAGCAGUGCCUACUUCAUCAGGCUGUUGUGGGAAUUAAAUGACUUGACACAUCUGAAGGGCUGAUGAUGUGAUGCUUGAGAGACGCGGGAUACAACCCUUGCAGCCCUUGGCAGGCUGACGGUGCAGGCACUUUCCCUCAAGUAUCUGGGCCCUUCCGUGCCCCAGUGCCACCUGCCUCCCCAGAGCAAUUACCAAUCACAUCAACAAGGGCUACCCAGGGUGGUCACUCCCCUGCUCAGCAGUUCUCUGCGUCUGUAGCUACCGUGCCUUCUCAGCACCCCGCACGAUGUGUACCUCCUAGAAGUCACUCAAUGAGCAUUUGAAGUGAACAAACACCUGGCCGGAUGCUAACCUGGAGGGUCAGAUUUUACACACAUGACUAAUAAAGACCGUCCUGCCAA